rfam:Candidate division WWE3 bacterium RIFCSPLOWO2_02_FTLL_53_10 rifcsplowo2_02_scaffold_80728, whole genome shotgun sequence.
GGACGGGUAGCUUAGCGGUUUAAAGCAUCAAGCUUAUACCUUGAGGAUCGAAGGUCCGAAUCCUUCCCCGUCCA